GGGUUGUGAGGUUAAGCGACUAAGCGUACACGGUGGAUGCCCUGGCAGUCAGAGGCGAUGAAGGACGUGCUAAUCUGCGAUAAGCGUCGGUAAGGUGAUAUGAACCGUUAUAACCGGCGAUUUCCGAAUGGGGAAACCCAGUGUGUUUCGACACACUAUCAUUAACUGAAUCCAUAGGUUAAUGAGGCGAACCGGGGGAACUGAAACAUCUAAGUACCCCGAGGAAAAGAAAUCAACCGAGAUUCCCCCAGUAGCGGCGAGCGAACGGGGAGGAGCCCAGAGUCUGAAUCAGUGUGUGUGUUAGUGGAAGCGUCUGGAAAGGCGCGCGAUACAGGGUGACAGCCCCGUACACAAAAAUGCACAUACUGUGAGCUCGAUGAGUAGGGCGGGACACGUGGUAUCCUGUCUGAAUAUGGGGGGACCAUCCUCCAAGGCUAAAUACUCCUGACUGACCGAUAGUGAACCAGUACCGUGAGGGAAAGGCGAAAAGAACCCCGGCGAGGGGAGUGAAAAAGAACCUGAAACCGUGUACGUACAAGCAGUGGGAGCACGCUUAGGCGUGUGACUGCGUACCUUUUGUAUAAUGGGUCAGCGACUUAUAUUCUGUAGCAAGGUUAACCGAAUAGGGGAGCCGAAGGGAAACCGAGUCUUAACUGGGCGUUAAGUUGCAGGGUAUAGACCCGAAACCCGGUGAUCUAGCCAUGGGCAGGUUGAAGGUUGGGUAACACUAACUGGAGGACCGAACCGACUAAUGUUGAAAAAUUAGCGGAUGACUUGUGGCUGGGGGUGAAAGGCCAAUCAAACCGGGAGAUAGCUGGUUCUCCCCGAAAGCUAUUUAGGUAGCGCCUCGUGAAUUCAUCUCCGGGGGUAGAGCACUGUUUCGGCAAGGGGGUCAUCCCGACUUACCAACCCGAUGCAAACUGCGAAUACCGGAGAAUGUUAUCACGGGAGACACACGGCGGGUGCUAACGUCCGUCGUGAAGAGGGAAACAACCCAGACCGCCAGCUAAGGUCCCAAAGUCAUGGUUAAGUGGGAAACGAUGUGGGAAGGCCCAGACAGCCAGGAUGUUGGCUUAGAAGCAGCCAUCAUUUAAAGAAAGCGUAAUAGCUCACUGGUCGAGUCGGCCUGCGCGGAAGAUGUAACGGGGCUAAACCAUGCACCGAAGCUGCGGCAGCGACGCUUAUGCGUUGUUGGGUAGGGGAGCGUUCUGUAAGCCUGUGAAGGUGUGCUGUGAGGCAUGCUGGAGGUAUCAGAAGUGCGAAUGCUGACAUAAGUAACGAUAAAGCGGGUGAAAAGCCCGCUCGCCGGAAGACCAAGGGUUCCUGUCCAACGUUAAUCGGGGCAGGGUGAGUCGACCCCUAAGGCGAGGCCGAAAGGCGUAGUCGAUGGGAAACAGGUUAAUAUUCCUGUACUUGGUGUUACUGCGAAGGGGGGACGGAGAAGGCUAUGUUGGCCGGGCGACGGUUGUCCCGGUUUAAG
rnacentral:rRNA from 1 species